AGCGUAGACGGCAAGGCAAGUCUGAUGUGAAAACCCAGGGCUUAACCCUGGGACUGCAUUGGAAACUGUCUGGCUCGAGUGCCGGAGAGGUAAGCGGAAUUCCUAGUGUAGCGGUGAAAUGCGUAGAUAUUAGGAAGAACACCAGUGGCGAAGGCGGCUUACUGGACGGUAACUGACGUUGAGGCUCGAAAGCGUGGGGAGCAAACA
rnacentral:rRNA from 1 species